AUAUGUCUACGUUGUAGAGAUGGCGUAACAUGGCGUCUUGAAGGGCCAUUCUCGCUUCUCUCUGAUUGUACUGUGUUGUAUCGUCGCAAAAAUAUCACUUAGAACACGUCGGUUUUCUGUUCCGACUACCCUGGACUGCCUCGCGACUUUUAUUUAAGCGAGGAUUCUACCAGAUUCUACAGAGACUAAAAAGUAAAAUAUAAAAAAAUGGCACUCGGUGGUACGUUGUACAGACUCGUUCUCAAACGUACGUCCACGUUCACGGUAGCCGUCAUAGCUUCCGCCUUCGUUUUCGAAAGAGCGUUUGAUAUGGCCUCCGAGAAGAUUUUCGACUCUAUUAACAAAGGAAAACAAUGGAAGGACAUCAAGCACAAGUACGAGAAUUGAAUAUUUUAGGGACAAUAUGUGUUAGAUCUAAAUAUAUGUUCUACCUCUGGAGUUGUCCUCUUUAGGACCCAAGAAACGACCAGCAAAGAGAGUCUCGCUUGUUACCAGAUCAACAAUAGCAAAGAUAAAUGGUCUGUUUGCUAUGACAGUUGGCACCAUGUUACCCAUGAGAGGUACAAUUGCAAAUUCUGCAAUGAGCAUUUAAUGAGCAUUAGUACUUCGUAAGCUGCAAUACCUUGAAAGAAAUAAUAUAAAUUACACUAAUAAUUACCGGUCGCCGCGGCAGCAAUGGUUCCCUCCUCGUCAA